AGCAGCCGCGGUAAUUCCAGCUCCAAUAGCGUAUAUUAAAGUUGUUGCAGUUAAAAAAGCUCGUAGUUGAAUUUCGGGUAUCAAUUAAUCGGUCGUGCCUCGGUACGUACUGGCAUUGUUGGUUUCUACCUUCUGACGAACCAUGAUGUCAUUUAUUUGGUGUCGUGGGGAAUCAGGACUGUUACUUUGAAAAAAUUAGAGUAGUUUAAAGCAGGACUCACGCUUGAAUACAUUAGCAUGGAAUAAUGAAAUAGGACGUUUGAUUCUAUUUUGUUGGUUUCUAGGAUCGACGUAAUGAUUAAUAGGGAUAGUUGGGGGCGAUUAGUAUUCAAUUGUCAGAGGUGAAAUUCUUGGAUUUAUUGAAGACUAACUACUGCGAAAGCAUUUGCCAAGGAUGUUUUCAUUAAUCAAAGAACGAAAGUUAGGGGAUCGGAAGACGAUCAGAUACCGUCGUAGUCUUAACCAUAAACUAUGCCGACUAGGGAUCGGGAUGAUGUUAAUUUUUUAAUGUACUCAUUCG
rnacentral:rRNA from 1 species